rnacentral:miRNA from 1 species
AUGAGAAGGGAGGAUGGGAAGGAGGAUUAACAAAAGUGAAAAUAAAAACUAAAAACUGAAAUCUAUUUGAAAUUGUUUUCACUUUUGUUACUCCUCCCUCCCAUCCUCCCCUCUCAUCC